rnacentral:rRNA from 1 species
GACGAACGCUGGCGGCGUGCUUAACACAUGCAAGUCGAACGGCAAGGCCCUGCUUUUGUGGGGUGCUCGAGUGGCGAACGGGUGAGUAACACGUGAGUAACCUGCCCUUGACUUUGGGAUAACUUCAGGAAACUGGGGCUAAUACCGGAUAGGAGCUCCUGCUGCAUGGUGGGGGUUGGAAAGUUUCGGCGGUUGGGGAUGGACUCGCGGCUUAUCAGCUUGUUGGUGGGGUAGUGGCUUACCAAGGCUUUGACGGGUAGCCGGCCUGAGAGGGUGACCGGCCACAUUGGGACUGAGAUACGGCCCAGACUCCUACGGGAGGCAGCAGUGGGGAAUAUUGCACAAUGGGCGGAAGCCUGAUGCAGCAACGCCGCGUGCGGGAUGACGGCCUUCGGGCUGUAAACCGCUUUCGCCUGUGACGAAGCGUGAGUGACGGUAAUGGGUAAAGAAGCACCGGCUAACUACGUG